CCCAGUUCGAGCUUCCAGGCCGCUUUGUUUACCUAAUCAAACAACUAACUAGGCAGUGUCGGGCGCCCCUCCCCCAGCCUCGCUGCCGCCUUGCAGUUUGAUCUCGGACUGGUGUGCUAGCAAUGAGGGAGACUCCGUGGGCAUACAACCUUCUGAGCCAGAACCUGGAUGUUGACGGGGCCACCUCUGAUCUUGUGAGGAACUAGUCGGCGAGCAAUUGCUGAAGCUGCAAAAGGCAGAGAAGAAUAGCUAUCCAACAGCUUUCUCCCUGAAAAACAUGGAAACUGGAGCCAGAAACUAGCAACUGGCUUUGUUCCUGUGGGCUGCAGUCAGCUGGUACCUGAACCUGAAGUGACACCUCGAAUCAAGGAGCCUGACAUACAUCGAUGAGAUGCAUAAGACAGCAGUCCUUGCCUCCUGGGACUUACAAAAGAUGAAGAAGGUACAAAUGUUACUCUUAUAAGAUGCCGUAAAAGAAAAGGUGCUUUGAGAAUCCAAAGGCUCUCGGGUUAAUGGAGGAGAAGCUGAAAAUUUGUUGGAGAUGGAGAAGUGGCAUCUAAACUGGGCCUUGAAGGAUGGGUUAGACACUGGUCGGUGAAAAUGCAGAGAUUGUGGUGGAUGGGGCAUUUCUGUUGCAGAGACUGGCAUGGGAGGACACUGAAUGACCAAAUAUGGUUUUAACAUCUUUAGCCAUUUUUCCAGGACUGAGGGAUUUCUUGAGACUCAGGACUUUCCAUUUUAUAACGAAGGAAGUCCAUGGCAAUCCAGGAUAAGUUAUCAUCCUAGGAUAUGCAAGAAGGGCUGGAAGGGGUUCUGAGAGUAUCUAACAACUCGAUUUGACAGGGGCGGAGUUUCUGAGAGGUAGUAUGUCGGUAGGACACCUGCAUCUCAAAUACCUGGGAUGCUUGUUACAAAUAAAAAUGCCUAGGCCCCACCCCUAAUGUACUAAAUCAGAAUUUCUGGCGGUGAGACCGAAGUGUAUAUGUAUUAAACAAUUUCUCCAGGUUGUUAUUUAUCACAAUGUAGUUUGAAAACUGGUAGAAAACAUAAAAUUUUUGUAAGGGAAAGAGUCUAAAACAAAAAUCUCUUAUAUG
rnacentral:lncRNA from 1 species